rnacentral:SRP_RNA from 1 species
GAUCGGUCGCCUCGUAACCGAAGGCCAUGAACCUCGUCAGGUCCGGAAGGAAGCAGCGAUAAGUGAUCCCUUCAGUGUCGUGGAUCGAUCCCGGUCA